rnacentral:snoRNA from 1 species
AUACAUUUCAAGUACUAGGGCCUGGUGUGCAGUGGCUGCGGACAGCAACCUUUCUUGGUAGUGUACGCAGCCUGUUGCUUGUAUGGGUUGCCUUAAGAGACUUAGAGACAGCC